GACGAACGCUGGCGGCGUGCCUAAUACAUGCAAGUAGGACGCACAGUCUAUACCGUAGCUUGCCACACCAUAGGCUGUGAGUUGCGAACGGGUGAGUAACGCGCAGGUAACCUGCCUAUUAGAGGGGGAUAACUAUUGGAAACGAUAGCUAAUACCGCAUAACAGUAUGUAACACAUGUUAGAUGCUUGAAAGAUGCAAUUGCAUCGCUAGAAGAUGGACCUGCGUUGUAUUAGCUAGUAGGUAGGGUAAUGGCCUACCUAGGCGACGAUACAUAGCCGACCUGGGAGGGGGGUCGGCCACACUGGGACUGGGACACGGGCCAGACUCCUACGGGAGGCAGCAGGAGGGGAUCUUCGGCAAUGGGGGGAACCCUGACCGGGCAACGCCGCGUGAGUGAAGAAGGUUUUCGGAUCGGAAAGAUCUGUUGUUAAGGAAGGACGAGUGUUAGAAUGGAAAAUUCAUACUGUGACGGUACUUAACCAGAAAGGGACGGCUAACUACGUG
rnacentral:rRNA from 1 species